GAAAUGCGAUAAGUAAUGUGAAUUGCAGAAUUCAGUGAAUCAUCGAAUCUUUGAACGCACAUUGCGCCCGCCAGUAUUCUGGCGGGCAUGCCUGUCCGAGCGUCAUUUCAACCAUCAAGCCCCCGGGCUUGUGUUGGGGACCUGCGGCUGCCCGCAGGCCCUGAAAACCAGUGGCGGGCUCGCUGUCACACCGAGCGUAGUAGCAAUCACCUCGCUCAGGGCGUGCUGCGGGUUCCGGCCGUUAAACAGCCCUACAAAACCCAAGGUUGACCUCGGAUCAGGUAGGAAGACCCGCUGAACUUAAGC
rnacentral:misc_RNA from 1 species